CUCUGCAUGUUGACCAGUGGGGAAUCUCUGUGUUAGCCACCAGACACUGCUACAAACCCUUUGCUGAAGAGAACUGAGAGCUGCAUUAAUCUAUGGGAAGAGAGGCCCUUUGAGGAGUCAGAGGGAACAGGACAACAUUGUCUAAACUCUUCUUUGAGUUCUGCCAGACAGCUGCUCUGCUAACAUCGCCAUCAUUGAAAAGGAAGAAGAACAACACACAGAGCAGGCAAAGAAUAAAGCCGUGUGAAAGGUUUGGAAUUGCCCACCAAAAUGAGUUUGGAGGCAAUUCAAAGGCAUACACAUCUGCU